rnacentral:rRNA from 1 species
UACGGAGGGGGCUAGCGUUAUUCGGAAUUAUUGGGCGUAAAGGGUGCGUAGGCGGUUAGUUAAGUCUGUUGUGAGAUCCCCGGGCUCAACCUGGGAAUGGCAAUGGAUACUGGCUGGCUAGAGUGUGUCAGAGGAUGGUGGAAUUCCCGGUGUAGCGGUGAAAUGCGUAGAGAUCGGGAGGAACAUCAGUGGCGAAGGCGGCCAUCUGGGACAACACUGACGCUGAAGCACGAAAGCGUGGGGAGCAAACAGG